GACAAAGUCCAGAUUGGGCAGAGGCAUUUCCUUUGGGUAUAUGCUGGGUAAAAGGAGGGUAUCUGUAAAACUGACACAGUCACAGGAUGUCUUCCACUGGAGAUGAUAAAAGGGUUUUAAUAGAUUGCAGUGGGCAAUGGCUAAAUUGGGAGAAAAAGAAAAUAGUAUCUCAUAGGUCAAUCGGCUGGCUGAAAGAUGUUGGGUAUGAUGAAAAGUGAGGAGGCUUUCAAUGGAAUGAGGGGCAUACAUAGUGAGAGGGGACUGUAUGACUAUUUUUUAGUGGCCUUUAUAAGCAUAGAAGUAAUAGCAACAGUUCUCAGAUAGGGGGGCAAUACUUGUGCCACAGGGUACUGCUAUUGGCUAUAAUAGCCAGUCAGUUGAUCGUUGCCCUCAAGGGGCUAAGGCAAACCCCCUAAUGUGUUACCCUCUCCUUCAUGCACAAAAAGGGAAAAUCAUAAUAAUUUGGAUGUCAUAGGUAGGGGUAGUGGACAAUUGAGUUUUUUAAACUUGGAAAGCUUGUUCACCAUCAGUAAUCCAGACAAGGAAAUGGGGAAAAGAGGCUUUAGGUAAGGAAUAUAAGGGUUGUACCAUCAGAGAGAAAUUAGGUUCCAUAUUCUGCAAUAAUCCACAGGCCCUAAAAAUACUCUGAGCUGCCUUUUUGUAGCAAGUAAGGGGAAGAAAAAGAUAACUUGAAUGUGAGAGGGAUCAAGGCUUAGCCUUGAGGAAGUUAAUACAUAUCCAAGGAAUUUAAUUGAAUCUUGACCAAAUUGUAAUUUUUCUUUAGAGACAUUAUGACAUUUAUUGAGGGUCAGUUGGCAGAAAAAAAAUGAAGAGUGUCAGCAGGGUAAGUGUUUUGAGAGGGAGAACAUAAAAGCAUAUCAUCAAUAUAUUGUAAAAGGGUUGAACCUUAUAAAAAGGUUAUCUUUUUCAGGUCUGCUCAAAGAAUCUGGAAAAAAUAGAUAGGGCUCUCAGUAUAUCCCUGAGGAAGCACUGUCCAUGUAUACUGUUGGCCUCUCCACAUGAAGGUGAAAAGAAACUUUCAGGGAAAAGGCCUGGAUAUUAUCACGAAACCAACUCAAAAUCACGAUGUUUUCCAGAGCUUAUAUACCUUCUAAGCUAUAUGUCUACAUGUAAGUGUGCAUUCAUCUAAAGACAUAAGUGAUUAACUUCUUUUAAUCUAUAAAUAAGGUCUGAAUCUUGAAGAUCUUCCUCUGGAGCCUCAGUAAAUUUACUUAAUCUAAAUGGGUCCGGCAAGGUGCGGUGGCUCACGCCUGUAAUCCCAGCACUUUGGGAGGCCAAGGUGGGUGGAUCAUGAGGUCAGGAGUUCGAGACCAUCCUGGCUAACAUGGUGAAA
rnacentral:lncRNA from 10 species